rnacentral:lncRNA from 1 species
AUUCGCGUUUAUUGUCUACAUACCCUUGCAACCAAAAUUUAUAAGUUACGACAUGUCGCAACUAACAAUUUAGUAAAAAUAAUUUGUCGAUAUCUUAUAAGGUUAAUGAAAAUAAGUGAAAAUAAGCCAAAAUCAAAAUUAGAAUUUGACCUUGACCUUUGACCUUGACCUAAUUUUCAUUUUGUUGGACCAAAGGAUCUUAAAUCAAAAAGACCCUAGGUCUCUAUCACUUAUGGUUUACCAGUUAGAAAUGCAUAUCACUUAUAUCAUAUACAAAAGGGGGGAUAACGCUCAUAUGGAGUCUCCGGAUAGCUUUGAUCAAAAUAAAACAGAACAUCCUGAGGAUAUAACGAGCAAUUUGGAAAAAUAAAUUUGUCGGUUUCUUAUACGGUUGCGAAGCCUUAGAUAUAACAAGAAAAACAGUGUUUGGGGAGAUAACUCUUACAAGGUAAAGUUUUUUGUUACGCGGUGUCAGUUUCAGAAGCGUAUUAACUGUUCGAUAUCAUAUACCAUAUAUCUAAGCGACAUCUUGGGAAACAAAAAAACAGUGAAGGAAAAAAAAAAUUGGCGGAAGAAAAAAAAAAAUAAUUAAAAACCAAUUGUUCAAAGAACAAUUGAAGGUCUUUCAACUAAUAAAGAUCUAUUUUGAUAUGAAAAUAUUAAAAUUCAGUUAAAAAUGUCAGUUCCUAUGGCUUUAUGAUGUAUAAAUAUGAAUUUAAAGCAAAGGUCAAAAUCUAGAACGUCCAAUUAACCUUUGACCUUGACCUCAAUUUCAAGGUCAUAGACUUAACAUCUCGAAUCAAAAGACACUAGUUCCUUAAUAUGUAUGUUCAUGAGUAAUAUCACUUUACGCAUAAUUCUAAAUAUAAGAGAGGCAAAAACUCCCAUUUAUUGUCUACGCACCCUUCCAAUCAAAAUUUAUGAGUUACGACAUGUCGCAACUAACAAUUUAGUAAAAAUAAUUUGUUGAAAUCUUAUAAAGUUAAUGAAAGUAAGUGAAAAUAAGCCAAAAUCAAAAUUUAAAAUUUGACCUUGACCUUUGACCUUGACCUAAUUUUCAUUUUUUUUGGACCAAGGAUCUUAAAUCAAAAGACCCUAGGUCUCUAUCACUUAUGGUUUACCAGUUAGAAAUGCAUAUCACUUAUUAUCAUAUAUAAAAGGGGGGAUAACUCUCAUAUGGAGUCUCCGGAUAGCUUCGGUCAAAAUGAAACAGAACAUCCUGAGGAUAUAACGAGCAAUUUGGAAAAAUAAAUUUGUCGGUUUCUUAUACGGUUGCGAAGCCUUAGAGAUAACAAGAAAAACAGUGUUCGGGGAGAUAACUCUUACAUGAGAAAGUUUUGUUACGCGAGUUGGUUUCAAAAAGCGUAUAAACUGUUUCGAUAUCAUAUUUCCAAAUAUCUAAGCGACAUCUUGCGAACAAAAAAAACAGCGAAGGAAAAAAAAGUUGGCGGAAGAAAAAAAAUAAUAAUAAUAAUAAUUAAAAACCAAUUGUUCAAAGAACAAUUGAAGGUCUUUCAACUAAUAAAGAUCUAUUUUGAUAUGAAAAUAUUAAAAUUCAGUUGAAAAUGUCAGUUCCUAUGGCUUAAUGAUGUAUAAAUAUGAAUUUCAAGCAAAGGUCAAAAUCUAGAACGUCCAAUUAACCUAUGACCUUGACCUCAAUUUCAAGGUCAUAAACCAAGGAUCCCAAAUCAAAAGACCCUUGGUCUGUAUUAUGUAUGGUUCAUGAGUAAUAUCACUUUAAACAUAAUUCUAAAUAUAAGAGGGGCGAACACUCCCAUUUAUUGUCUACGCACCCUUGCAACCAAAAUUUAUAAGUUACGACAUGUCGCAACUAACAAUUUAGUAAAAAUAAUUUGUCGAUAUCUUAUAAGGUUAAUGAAAAUAAGUGAAAAUAAGCCAAAAUCAAAAUUUAAAAUUUGACCUUGACCUUUGACCUUGACCUAAUUUUCAUUUUUUUAGACCAAGGAUCUUAAAUCAAAAGACCCUAGGUCUCUAUCACUUAUGGUUUACCAGUUAGAAAUGCAUAUCACUUAUAUCAUAUACAAAAGGGGGGAUAACGCUCAUAUGGAGUCUCCGGAUAGCUUCGGUCAAAAAAAAACUGAACAUCCUGAGGAUAUAACGAGCAAUUUGGAAAAAUAAAUUUGUCGGUUUCUUAUACGGUUGCGAAGCCUUAGAGAUAACAAGAAAAACAGUGUUCGGGGAGAUAACUCUUAUUUGGGAAAGUAUGCAGUUAAGCAGAGUUGGUUUCAAAAGCGUAUAAACUGUUCGAUAUCAUAUACCAUAUAUCUAAGCGACAUCUUGCGAAACAAAAAAACAGCGAAGGAAAAAAAAUGUGGCGGAAGAAAAAAAAAAAUAAUAAUAAUAAUAAUAAUAAUCAGAACAAAACCUAUAGGUCUUUCAACUGAAAGGUUGAAAGACCUAAUAAUAAUAAUAAUAAUCAGAACAAAACCUAUAGGUCUUUCAACUGAAAGGUUGAAAGACCUAAUUAAAA